AUCUCUUCUCUUUGUUUUGCCACUGUCACUGUCAUGCUACAGAUUCUUGUAGGAGUUGGCUGAGCUCUUGACCCCACCAAGCAGAUAAUGCCUAACCGAAAACAAUCAAUGCUCUGUACCAAAAGGAAUGCCCUCCUAAAACAGCGAAAAAGGGAGUUGCGUUCACAGGAAACACAAGAAGCAAGAGAGGCCCGUCUUGAUGAUCAGCGUAGUCGUGAUCAACGCUCACUAUGUGACGAACCUGUUGAAGCAAGGCAGGCCCGUCUUGCUUUCAUGCGUAUUCGAAAUCGGCGCUCACUCCU